AAGAAGAGGAGGAGAAGAAGGAAAAGGAAAAGGAGGAGGAGGGCGGCGGGCGGCGGCGGGCGGCGGCGCGGAGCCACGGCCGCGCGCCCCUGCCAGGGACCCUGCGUGCUGUGGCGGCGGCCGGCGCGGAGCCAGACCCCCGCGGGGCGCGGUGCGGGCGGGCUGAGGGCCACUCGCCGCCGCCUCGGGCUCUCGCAGCGCCAGGAGCCGCGCCGUCCCCGCCGCCGCCGGGACUCCCUUCCCGGGCGGAGAGGGGGAGAAUGACGGAGCUCCAGUCCGCCUUGCUACUGCGGAGACAACUAGCAGAGCUCAACAAAAAUCCAGUGGAAGGCUUUUCAGCGGGCUUAAUAGAUGACAAUGAUCUUUAUCGAUGGGAAGUCCUUAUUAUUGGUCCUCCAGAUACACUAUAUGAAGGUGGUGUUUUCAAGGCUCAUCUUACUUUUCCAAAAGACUAUCCACUGAGGCCGCCAAAAAUGAAAUUCAUCACAGAAAUCUGGCAUCCAAAUGUUGACAAGAACGGCGAUGUCUGCAUUUCAAUUCUUCAUGAGCCUGGAGAAGACAAAUAUGGCUAUGAAAAACCUGAGGAACGCUGGCUUCCCAUUCACACAGUGGAAACUAUAAUGAUUAGUGUUAUUUCUAUGCUGGCAGAUCCCAAUGGUGAUUCUCCUGCUAAUGUUGAUGCAGCGAAAGAAUGGAGAGAAGACAGAAAUGGAGAAUUUAAAAGAAAAGUUGCCCGCUGUGUAAGAAAAAGCCAAGAAACUGCUUUUGAGUGACACUUAUUCAGCAGCUAGUAGCUUCACUUUUUUCAGGGUGUUGAUUUUGGAUUUAUGCAUCUUCUGUUUAGAGGUCUCCAAUUGAGAAACAUGGCACUGUUUUUUUUCCUGCACUCUACCCACCUAUUGCUGGACUUCUGUUGUUACAAGUUGGCAAACUGGCUGGAACUGGGCUGCAAUAAAACAUGCCAGUUAUCAAUGCUGACAAGAGCCUAACAAGUGCCAACACAAGAUGAUUACACAUUUUGAAAUCUAAUGAACUGCUUUAACCUUCAGGAAGAAUUGUAAAGAUGUGUACAUAGCACAACAUGAUCCGGAUAAUAUAUAUACUGUUCAUGUACAUCCACAAAUACACAUUGUACCAAAUAAUGCUGUCUGUAGUUAGGAAUAGAAUUGUGUAAAUUCUAAAGAUUUUAGCAGGUUUUUCUCUCCCUGUUCAUUGUUUCCUAGCAGUUUAAAAAAAAAAAAAAAACAACUUGUGAAGCAUGUCAAACUAAAAUCAAUUAGGAUAAAGUUAUUUUUUUUUUUGUUUGGUUUCCCCCCCUCUUUAAUUUUCCUUUGACCCACUGAGGCUUAAUUAAAAUCUCUUGCUUAUUAAAGUUUAGUAUCUUUUUUUUUUUUUUUUUUGGAAAUGUGCUCCCUUUUAUUUCCCCCAUCAGAACUUAAAAUUUUCUUAAUUAAACCCUGAAAGGAUUUGCUGUUAAUUACUUGUGUCUUCUUUUAUGAUGACCUUUGUAGUCUCAAAGGUGCUUUUUCCCACCCCCAAGCCCUUUUUUAAACCCAAUUGCACAUACUUCUUGAAUUGGGUAUAGCAAUAAAACUGGCCAUGGAGCACCCUUGAGCAGCCUGCUGGAUUUUUAACUUCCAAGGGACUUGAGCGCUUUCAUUUGGAAGUUCAGUUGACUAAGUUAGUCCAAGAUAGGAAUGAGCUGUUUUUAUGGGUGAAUUUAUAAUUAUUUUUUUUUUUGCCUUUCUCAUUGCCUGUUUGUGGGGUGGGGUGUGUGUGGGGGAGGCUUGUUUUUUCUCAAGGUUGAGUUCAAGCAUGCACAUCUGUAGGCUUUCAAAUGACUAACUUCUGGGUUUGGUAUCAAAAAUAGUUUCCCUCCUUUUCCCUCUUCUCUAUUCUGUGGCCCUUCAUCUUCUUUGCCUUCUACUUCAGAGUUUUCCUCACCUAAUGUAUAAAGAAAAUUGCGAUGUAUAUUUUCAUGUAAUUUGAUUUUUGGAAUUCUGUCACCUUCUGUAGUGAGUUCUUCCAAAAUAUAAUUUUUUCCAAUAAUAAUGUGUCAAACUGGCUGUCUUGAGUAUCUAAAUAGGAAGGGUAACUGCAGUUGGAGCACAACUUACCUGAACAUCUUCAACACCAUAACAUCAGCAAACAUUUGUUGAAUCUGUCAUACUGUAUUUCAUCUUGCAAUAAUUAAAAAGCAAACAAAACACACAGCUUUCUUCCUAUUGUAACCAUCUUUGGCCUUCCACUGAGCAAAUACUAAUCUUGGAGCAUCUGGUAACAAGAGUUUUCCAAGCCUACCUGAAAUACCUUUCUACCAAAGAAACUUUAUAGAGGAACUUCCAACUACUUGACUGUUGUCUGCUCUGUUGUAGGUUUACUACAGCUUUUAACAGCACAGAGUAACCCACUAAUAAAUCAAGAGUUCCAGAGUUAAGGAGUCAUCCUGUAAGAAGCCUUUAGUACUAAUUUGCUGGCUGGCUUGACUUCAUUUCAGGUUGCUGUGCAACAUGCAUAUAUUAAAAGGCAUAUAUUACAGGUUUCUUGUGGGGUGGGCUGGGUGGAAGGUGGUGACAGUUAUUAGUGGCAUGACAGCCAUAUGGGACAAAAAAGCCAUUUAGUAAGUAUAAGAUGACUUACAACUAAAGGUAUUGCUUCCUUCUACAGGUGAUUUAAGUAAGCAUGGCUGUUAAACACAUCUAUGUUUAUGUAUUUGGUGACCAAUUAUUUUGAGAAAUCAUUAGUUAAAAUUGCUUUUAGUAUAGGCAGGCAGUAGUGUGCAACACUUCAGAGCUAUUGGUGCCCACAGUAGAUGAUUUUUAGUUCCCAUUUGAAUGCUUGUCUAAAAUUGCUUGGGAGGAGGUUUCGUGCCCACCAGCUGACUACCCUUUUUUGCUUAUCCAAGAGUUGGGAUUGUGCAGAAUUUCAGUGGUGUGGUGCCCUUCUUUCUAUAAACAAAACACAGGGAACAAGCCUGUCUUCCAAAAUCUAGCAGUGGACUUUUUCCUUGACAGGCUGCCCCCCCUUUUGCCUUGCCACAGUGUAUUUAAAGAGCUGGCAGCGAUUCAAGGUAAUUGGUACUUGCUGCUUUCAGCAAGUUCAAUGGUGUUCUCCGGUUUGUAUUCCAUAGUAACACAUACAGUUCACAACUGACUCAUCUGUAAACUUCACUAAAUAGUUUAAAGCUUUCUUUUUCUCAUUUAUUCUCUAGAAGAGCUGCUUGUUCGUUCUUUUAAGGUGUAGGCCUGGAAAUGUUAGUCUUGCAUCAGUGGUAUGGAAGAACUGUUAAUUCCACAGCAGUGUUGGUUCCCCUCUUUGUGAAUUACUCAAAUAUAAACCCACUUCUGUUUGGCUUACCCAGAUGGUUCGAUAUUCCACAUGACCCAAAUAUUCCAAAGGAAGGAGUGUUACUGUGGGAUACUGUUAAGAGGUAUGAGCUGCAGGUAUGGCUAAUGCCUAGUGCUUAAUGAAAGAGGCAGCCAAGGGUCUGGUGCCAAAUGUCCAGGUUGUAGAAAGCCUCUGGCAGGCACAGAAAUGGCCCAUUUAACUCUUCUGUGAUCACAGUUGGCUUUUUGUUUGUUCUUGCCUGACACAUUAAAGGGAUCUGCCUAUGGUGGUUACCGAUGUGACCAGAAAUUUCUGUGUAGUCUCAAGGUAGGAACACCAAUGGAGAGAUGCAGUAUGUACAAGUAGUACUAGAGCAUUUGUUGAACAAUUGAGUAAACCAGCAUUCUUACUCAGUUUCACUUGUAUCAAGCUCUUGUAUCUAGUGUAGUUUAUGUAGGAUGUCAGCUUGCUGGAUCAUCAGUUACACUUUUUCUGGAUUGCUGGAGGGUUGUAAUUAUGGAUGAGUUUUUGUUCUGUUUUUCCCCCCAGCACGUGGUGGCCUGUUUUCCAGAUAACACUGCAUCACUGGGGAAAAAGGAAAAACAAAGCAUGGAAUUUUAGUAAAUAUCUAAGUAGUACAGCCAUCUUAAUUCCUUUUUCAUGUUUCUCCAUGCUGCCCCUUAUGCAUCAGAAAAGAUCUCUGUAAAAAUUAGAAGGGCUGUUCAGCUGCCGUGCUAAAAUUCUUUCCUGCUGUGAUGCCUAGAAAUUGCUUACUGAAACUAGACGAUCAAUAAAUGGAGAGCAUUAAUUCUUAAGUGA